AUGAUACCUCAGAAGCAUUUUUUCCAACUGAACUCUGCAGUUCUGCGUUCCCUGUGCAGCUUUGACAGAAUCGCGAUGCAAGCAGUCAAGUGGGAAGUGCAGCGUGCACACGGCCCCGCUUUGAAGCAGAAAGGCCGGAGCAGCCACGGAAAAAAGAAAAAGGUGCGCUCCCUUGGCCGUAAUACACAAAAGAUUUUCCUCUGCUGUGUUUGCGAUUUUUCAGUAGCCUAUUACAUUCCUCUCUCUAUCACUUACAGCAGGAAGCUGCAGUCGUUGUUCAGACUUAACCACAGAUAUGUUUUCUGCUUAGCAAGCCUGCGGAUGAGUCACGAGAUAAACCAGAUCAAGCUCUCUGUGCUGGUUCACAGCAGGCACACCCCGAGGGGCAAGGGCAGCAGGCUGCUCGCCUACCUGCCGGCGUCUGCAGGACGAGACCUGAAGGCCGCUGAGCACUCUUCCUGCCGGCAGGGCGGACGUAGCAUGGUCCUCGGCGGGUCGUUUCACGUUUUUGUGCUUGUGAGGCCAUACCUCUCUAUUUAACCUCAUGCUGGUGGAAUCUGACCCUUGCAAAAUGCUUUAAAAUCACCCGGCAGAAGGCCAUGCUGCCUCUGGAGAUGCGCAUUACCAGGCCAGGGUCCCGGGUGGAAAGAGGAGAGAGGAUAUAUAUAUCCCCCAAAGCCAAAGAGUUAGUGUAGCCACAAGCUUCCUGGCUCAGAGCUGGGGAUGCCAAGAAAGGCUCACUGGGGAACUCCCACCCGUCCUGCCACCUCGCUGCCGGAGAGGUGAGGGCAAACCUGGGGAAGGAUCACUGCAGCAGAGCCUUCAAGUGGUACUUCAUCCAAGCAACCUCUUAGGACAGUAAAAAGGAGUCUGUUUUGCAGCGUGGUGGCUGCAUGGCGAACGUGUGAUUCAGGGUUGCUGCAGCUACCCGGAAAAAGUCAUCAGGUCCAAACGAGCAGAGUCACUAAGAAAGUUCUCUCGCUCUUGGGGCGCUGCCGCCAAGCGCCCCGGGGCAGAGCGCGGCGCUUAGACGGUGCUCUCGCCUCCGGCGGCGCCAGGCCGGGCGCCGACGAGGAGCCCAGCUGGCCCCCCGGGCCCGGUGCCAUGCCGGCGGGGGG
rnacentral:lncRNA from 1 species